GACCCAGUGGCGAAGUGGUUUCGCAUCCGCUCAACUUACGGGUCAAAUGUGUCUGCACUUUCCGCGGAAGGCAUCCGUUCGAUUCGGGUCUGGGUCA